rnacentral:misc_RNA from 1 species
GAUGAAGAACGCAGCGAAAUGCGAUAAGUAAUGUGAAUUGCAGAAUUCAGUGAAUCAUCGAAUCUUUGAACGCACAUUGCGCCCGCCAGUAUUCUGGCGGGCAUGCCUGUCUGAGCGUCAUUUCAACCCUCAUGCCCCUAGGGCGUGGUGUUGGGGAUCGGCCAAAGCCCGCGAGGGACGGCCGACCCCUAAAUCUAGUGGCGGACCCGUCGUGGCCUCCUCUGCGAAGUAGUGAUAUUCCGCAUCGGAGAGCGAUGAGCCCCUGCCGUUAAACCCCCAACUUUCCAAGGUUGACCUCAGAUCAGGUAGGAAUACCCGCUGAACUUAAGCAUAUCAAUAAGCGGAGGA